AUGCUACUCAUGCUUCAUCAUCUCAGGCCAAUGCAAGUAGCAACAACACAUGCUUCAGCAACUCAAGGAUACAUGAAUGUAACUCAGUAUUCUCAAGAAAAGGCAAUAUUAGGAGGGAAAGGCAUAAGAGAAAAGGCAAAAGGAACUGGCGAUCCAUAUAAACUUGAUGUAAGAAGGCCCUUUGUAUCCCUAGGACCAACAACAAGAUUAUAUGCAUCCAAGAAUAUGGUUGGUCCUACCGUCAGGAGGUCUACUCCAACCAAGAGAAUCACACCAAAGAGAACCAUAUAG